rnacentral:misc_RNA from 1 species
GAUGACGAACGUAGCGAAAUGCGAUACUUGGUGUGAAUUGCAGAAUCCCGUGAACCAUCGAGUCUUUGAACGCAAGUUGCGCCCGAAGCCAUUAGGCCGAGGGCACGCCUGCCUGGGCGUCACACGUCGUUGCCCCCCCAUCUACUCCUUCGGGAUUGCGGGGGGCGGAUGAUGGCCUCCCGUGCGCCUCGUCGCGCGGUUGGCAUAAAUGCCAAGUCCUCGGCGACGCACGCCACGACAAUCGGUGGUUGCGAAACCUCGGUUGCCCGUCGUGUGCGGUCGUCGCGCAUCGAGGGCUCGAAAAAAUUGUCGGGCUCCGGCUCGGCUUUCAACGCGACCCCAGGUCAGGCGGGGUUACCCGCUGAAUUUAAGCAUAUCAAUAAGCGGAGGA